GCGGUUUUUGCCAAUCAGGAAUCAAACAACUUCCGGGAGGCGGAUGAUGACCGAGACUGAGACUGGAGAAAGGGAGACAGUUACUUUGCCGGGUUUCUCAGGAAAUCAAACAAGUUGAACUUUUUCCUUUAAGCAAUGGCUCCCGCGUUCAUGGACCGGGCUGGGCAGUCAUCACUUGGAGAAAAUUAACAGCAGCCUCUGGAAGCUCUGGUAUGGGCCCUUGUACUUUGCUGCUGGAGCUGAGCCUGAGGUGACCUCCUGACUCAAGGGAAAGCCAAGUUCCUACCACACAUUUACUAUCUCAACAAAAGGGAGACUGGGUAAAACACUGCACUGCUGGGAACGUCUACGGUCUCCCUUGCGAGUGAAUAUAUUGAAGCAUUUCUUUAAACACCUAAUUGUACUGGCAUUCCUUUAAGCUUGUCUCAUUAAAGCAAAGGAAUAAAAGCAAAUGUAUGAGA